GGAGGAGUGAGUGCAGUUUCUGAAAACAAACUCCGCGCUUCUUCUCCCUCCCUUCACUCCUGGAACAAGUCUUAAAGAUAAAGCAGAAAUUUUCAGAGUCUUCAUCUGCCUGCUGCCUCACAGAUUAAACAUAGCUCCUUGCUUCAGGGGAGGCUAGAAGAUUUGGAAAUCAAAGUGCAUCUCCUGGGUAGCUUCCUGGCUCCCUGGACAGGACCAAGAGUCAUAAGCUCCUAAAGACCUGAGCCUCUGUUUGGCAAACCCAUAUGUGGGAAGAUGAAAGCAGUCAGUGGCCUUUUGGAAAGGACCCAUGUGACCUGCAUUACCUCUGGUAGACUCUUUUGCAGAAAUGUCAACGAGGUUGCAAAUAUCAGAUAAUGAUAAAGAGAAAUGGGGUCACAGCUCAUAUUGCCUUACAUAGAGAACAUCAAGUUAUCAAGUCAUAAUUCACAAGUGAAAAUAUGUGAUUAAACUUUGUCAGUGGUCCCUUUCUUGAUUUCUCUUCACUUUUUCCCCACAGUUUGAUAAAGCACACUUGUAAAACAAAUUUGAUAUGGUUCCGUCUUGUUGUCUUAUAUAUUUGUUGAGGGUCAUGUAAUGACAAGCCUUUGUCUUGAUUAGAAAUUAUAUCCAUUGGAAGGUACUUAAAUAGACAAUAGGAAUUGUGGGAAAGGAAUAUGAAAGUCCUCGGUAAUGAAAGUUAGGACUGAACUAUGUUUCAGCUGCC